UGCAAGUCGAGCGCGAAAGUGGGCUUCGGCCCACGAGUAGAGCGGCGAACGGGUGAGUAACGCGUGGGUGAUCUACCUCCGAGUGGGGAAUAACACCGGGAGACUGGUGCUAAUACCGCAUGACAUCCUCGAUUCGUUUCGAGGAUCAAAGCUGGGGACCGCAAGGCCUGGCGCUUGGAGAGGAGCCCGCGUCCGAUUAGCUUGUUGGCGGGGUAAUGGCCCACCAAGGCUUCGAUCGGUAGCCGGCCUGAGAGGGCGGACGGCCACACUGGGACUGAGACACGGCCCANACUCCUACGGGAGGCAGCAGUGGGGAAUUUUUCGCAAUGGGGGAAACCCUGACGAAGCAACGCCGCGUGGAGGAUGAAGGCCCUCGGGUCGUAAACUCCUGUCGAUCGGGAAGAAUGCACUCGGCCCAAUACGCCGUUGUGUUGACUGUACCGGUGGAGGANGUNCACGGCUAACUCUGUGCCA
rnacentral:rRNA from 1 species